ncrna:unclassified sequences COG2827 RNA
GCUGGUGCUUUAUCAUAGAUACAGAUCUUUUUAGGUCCGGGCGGUGACGGCGCGUUUUGCGCAAUCGCCGUUUACAUA